rnacentral:tRNA from 1 species
GUCCCGGUAGCUCAGGCGGUAGAGCAACUGACUUUUAAUCAGUGGGUCGAAGGUUCGAUUCCUUUCCGGGACA